GCCUACGGGGGGCAGCAGUGAGGAAUAUUGGUCAAUGGUCGGGAGACUGAACCAGCCAAGCCGCGUGAGGGAUGAAGGUACAGAGUAUCGUAAACCUCUUUUGUCAGGGAACAAAGGCGGGGACGUGUCCCCGGAUGAGUGUACCUGAAGAAAAAGCAUCGGCUAACUCCGUGCAAGCAGCCGCGGUAAUACGGAGGAUGCGAGCGUUAUCCGGAUUUAUUGGGUUUAAAGGGUGCGCAGGCGGUCUGUUAAGUCAGCGGUCAAAGCCCGGGGCUCAACCCCGGCCCGCCGUUGAAACUGGCAGG
rnacentral:rRNA from 1 species